UACGUAGGGUGCGCGCGUUAAUCGGAAUUACUGGGCGUAAAGCGUGCGCAGGCGGUUUUGUAAGUCUGUUGUGAAAGCCCCGGGCUCAACCUGGGAAUUGCGAUGGAGACUGCAAGGCUUGAAUCUGGCAGAGGGGGGUAGAAUUCCACGUGUAGCAGUGAAAUGCGUAGAGAUGUGGAGGAACACCGAUGGCGAAGGCAGCCCCCUGGGUCAAGAUUGACGCUCAUGCACGAAAGCGUGGGGAGCAAACAGG
rnacentral:rRNA from 1 species